rnacentral:rRNA from 1 species
CUACGGGUCGCUGCAGUGGGGAAUAUUGCACAAUGGGCGCAAGCCUGAUGCAGCCAUGCCGCGUGUAUGAAGAAGGCCUUCGGGUUGUAAAGUACUUUCAGCGGGGAGGAAGGGAGUAAAGUUAAUACCUUUGCUCAUUGACGUUACCCGCAGAAGAAGCACCGGCUAACUCCGUGCCAGCAGCCGCGGUAAUACGGAGGGUGCAAGCGUUAAUCGGAAUUACUGGGCGUAAAGCGCAUGCAGGCGGUUUGUUAAGUCAGAUGUGAAAUCCCCGGGCUCAACCUGGGAACUGCAUCUGAUACUGGCAAGCUUGAGUCUCGUAGAGGGGGGUAGAAUUCCAGGUGUAGCGGUGAAAUGCGUAGAGAUCUGGAGGAAUGCCGGUGGCGAAGGCGGCCCCCUGGACGAAGACUGACGCUCAGGUGCGAAAGCGUGGGGAGCAAACAGGAUUAGAUACCCCUGUAGUC